rnacentral:rRNA from 1 species
UACGUAGGGGGCAAGCGUUGUCCGGAUUUAUUGGGCGUAAAGAGCGUGUAGGCGGUUUGGUAGGUCCGCUGUGAAAACUCGAGCUCAACCUCGAGACGCCGGUGGAAACCAUCAGACUAGAGUCCGGAAGAGGAGAGUGGAAUUCCUGGUGUAGCGGUGAAAUGGCGCAGAUAUCAGGAAGAACACCCGUGGCUAAGGCGGCUCUCUAGUACGGGUAC